rnacentral:rRNA from 1 species
GACGAACGCUGGCGGCGUGCUUAACACAUGCAAGUCGAACGGAAAGGCCCUGCUUUUGUGGGGUGCUCGAGUGGCGAACGGGUGAGUAACACGUGAGUAACCUGCCCUUGACUUUGUGAUAACUUCAGGAAACUGGGGCUCAUACCGCAUAGGAUCUCCUGCUGCAUGGUGGGGGUUGGAAAGUUUCGGCGGUUGGGGCUGGACUCGCGGCUUAUCAGCUUGUUUGUGGGGUAGUGGCUUACCAAGGCUUUGACGGGUAGCCGGCCUGAGAGGGUGACCGGCGACAUGGGGACUGAGAUACGGACCAGACGGGUACGGGAGGCAGCAGUGGGGAAUAUGGCACAAUGGGCGGAAGUCUGAGGCAGCAACGCCGCGUGCGGGAUGACGGCCUUCGGGUUGUAAACAGCUUUCGACUGUGACGAAGAGUGAGUGACGGUAAUGGGUAAAGAAGCACCGGCUAACUACGUG